rnacentral:rRNA from 1 species
UACGUAGGGACCAAGCGUUGUCCGGAAUCAUUGGGCGUAAAGCGUGCGCAGGCGGUUCGUUAAGUCAGCUGUGAAAGCCCCGGGCUCAACCUGGGAACUGCGGUUGAAACUGGCGAACUAGAAUCUGGCAGAGGGGGGUGGAAUUCCACGUGUAGCAGUGAAAUGCGUAGAGAUGUGGAGGAACACCGAUGGCGAAGGCAGCCCCCUGGGCUAAGAUUGACGCUCAGGCACGAAAGCGUGGGGAGCAAACAGG